rnacentral:lncRNA from 1 species
AAGAGACAGCGCCGCCGGCCGUGGGGAGCGGACGCAGUGAUUUGCUCCCCCUCGUGCAGCAACCCCCACACCCAGCACCAGGCCCCCAGAACUCUCCUUCCAGCUGAACUCCCUGGGAACAAGUCAGUUGGGCUGAUCACUGAACUCACAUUUCUGGACCUGAGGAGCCUGUUCCUCUCACGCCCUCACCUGGCUGAGCCGCAGUAGUUCUUCAGUGGCAAGCUUUAUGUCCUGACCCAGCUAAAGCUGCCAGUUGAAGAACUGUUGCCCUCUGCCCCUGGCUUCGAGGAGGAGGAGGAGCUGCUUUCCCCAUCAUCUGGAAGGAAGCUGUGUCUGUUCGAUUUGGUGGGAGGAGAUGUGCAGGGAGCUGUAUCUUGUCCUCCGCUUGUGAAAAACUCAAGGAUGUGGAGAAGAGUAGACCGUGGAACCCUGCUCUUCUGCAGCCAAGCUGA